rnacentral:tmRNA from 1 species
GGGGGCGUAAAGGUUUCGACGGGGAUUUUGAAGCGUGGGAAGCGAGUAGAGGUGCACGACCUCUUUAAAACGUGACACUUUAAAAAUAAACGCUAACGAUAACGUUGCAUUUGCUGCCUAACUAAGGCGGCCGUCUGACCGAGUAGGACCACGGACACGGAUCAGGCGUCGAUGAGUGGUGAACGUCACCCUUAGGCAUCCUUCCGCGGGGCUGAUGAACAGUAGGAUACCAAGCCCGGCAGCCUGAUUGCCGGCGGCCGGGCAAGGGAAUGUAAAGGACAAUCUGCACUCGGAGAUGCCUGCGUGGAUAGAUUUUCGGACAGGGGUUCGAUUCCCCUCGCCUCCACCA